AUAAACACAACUUGGAUGACCUUGAAAUCAUCAUGCUAAAUAUUUAUCUUUCUUUUUUUUUUUUUUUUUGAGACAGAGUCUCACUCUGUCACCAGGCUAGAGUGCAGUGGCGCGAUCUCGGCUCACUGCAACCUCCACCUCCCAGGUUCAAGCAAUUCUCCUGCCUCAGCCUCCCGAGUAGCUGGGACUACAGGCAUGCACCACCACGCCCAGCUAAUUUUUGUGUUUUUUAGUGGAGACGGGGUUUCACCAUGUUGGCCAGGAUGGUCUCCAUCUCUUGACCUCCUGAUCCACCCGCCUCAACCUCCCAAAGUGCUGGGAUUACAGGUGUGAAACAGGGAGUCAGGUAGGCUGGGUGCGGUGGCUCAUGCCUGUAAUCCCAGCACAUUGGGAGGCCGAGGAGGGCGGAUCACCUGAGGUCAGAAGUUCGAGACCAGCCUGGACAACAUGGUGAAACCCCGUCUCUACUAAAAAUAUAAAAAUUAGCGGAGGCGGAAGUU
rnacentral:lncRNA from 1 species